AUGGACAGAGGGAAGUGGGAGACGACGCUCACCUGUUUUCAGGCGUCUGCACGUGGAUACAUUGUGAGAAAGGAAGUCCGGCGUGCACGAGAAGACUUUGAAGACGUCGUGAGAGAGAUCGAUGGAGGCUUGACUCAUUUAGAGUGGAGGGAGACAGUCAUCCCCAUUCCCCACUUCACAGACACUAAUGGUCUGUUUCCACGACCCAGCAGCACUGCUGAAGGAGUAGAUAUCUGUGCCAGUCCCCAGAUCCCAUCAGCAACAGGAGUGUCAUCAGUGGAGAGGCGAGAUCAUCCUGCCCUCAAUGAUAAAGGGGACAGAGAGAAAGAAAGUACCAUGGUGUAUAAAGAUGGAGGGGUGAUGGAGAGCACAGGAGACUCCACCCCCGUCUGGAGCAGUUUGGAGCUGGAUAUGAACUAUGGUCACUCUAACAAAGGUUCCCGACAGUACUGCUUGGCCCAGGAGGUGCCCUGUACCCCAGAGGUGCUUCGUCUCCACAGAAACACCCUGACCAUGGAGCUGCUGUGGCUCCAACAGGCCAUUGACAGCAGGAAAAAGUACUUGUCACUGAAGGACAGACUGAGUGUUUCCUGA
rnacentral:lncRNA from 1 species